rnacentral:rRNA from 1 species
UUAGCUGGUAGGUGGGGUAAUGGCUCACCUAGGCGACGAUCCCUAGCUGGUCUGAGAGGAUGACCAGCCACACUGGAACUGAGACACGGUCCAGACUCCUACGGGAGGCAGCAGUGGGGAAUCUUCGGCAAUGGACGAAAGUCUGACCGAGCAACGCCGCGUGAGUGAAGAGGGUUUUCGGAUCGUAAAACUCUGUUGUUAGAGAAGAACAAGGAUGAGAGUAAAACGUUCAUCCCUUGACGGUAUCUAACCAGAAAGCCACGGCUAACUACGUGCCAGCAGCCGCGGUAAUACGUAGGUGGCAAGCGUUGUCCGGAUUUAUUGGGCGUAAAGCGAGCGCAGGCGGUUUCUUAAGUCUGAUGUGAAAGCCCCCGGCUCAACCGGGGAGGGUCAUUGGAAACUGGGAGACUUGAGUGCAGAAGAGGAGAGUGGAUUUCCAUGUGUAGCGGUGAAAUGCGUAGAUAUAUGGAGGAACACCAGUGGCGAAGGCGGGCUCUCUGGUCUGUAACUGACGCUGAGGCUCGAAAGCGUGGGGAGCGAACAGGAUUAGAUACCCUGGUAGUGCACGCCGUAAACGAUGAGUGCUAAGUGUUGGAGGGUUUCCGCCCUUCAGUGCUGCAGCAAACGCAUUAAGCACUCCGCCUGGGGAGUACGACCGCAAGGUUGAAACUCAAAGGAAUUGACGGGGGCCCGCACAAGCGGUGGAGCAUGUGGUUUAAUUCGAAGCAACGCGAAGAACCUUACCAGGUCUUGACAUCCUUUGACCAUCCUAGAGAUGGGAUUUUCCCUUCGGGGACAAAGUGACAGGUGGUGCAUGGUUGUCGUCAGCUCGUGUCGUGAGAUGUUGGGUUAAGUCCCGCAACGAGCGCAACCCUUAUUGUUAGUUGCCAUCAUUUAGUUGGGCACUCUAGCGAGACUGCCGGUGACAAACCGGAGGAAGGUGGGGAUGACGUCAAAUCAUCAUGCCCCUUAUGACCUGGGCUACACACGUGCUACAAUGGGAAGUACAACGAGUUGCGAAGUCGCGAGGCCAAGCUAAUCUCUUAAAACUUCUCUCAGUUCGGAUUGUAGGCUGCAACUCGCCUACAUGAAGCCGGAAUCGCUAGUAAUCGCGGAUCAGAAUGCCACGGUGAAUACGUUCCCGGGCCUUGUACACACCGCCCGUCACACCACGAGAGUUUGUAACACCCGAAGUCGGUGAGGUAACCUUUAUGGAGCCAGCCGCCUAAGGUGGGAUAGAUGAUUGGGGUGA